rnacentral:rRNA from 1 species
CGGCAGGACGAGGGCGGUGUGUGUGGGUAUAGUGUGUACGGCGAGGAGGUGGAGAGCGAAGGCCGCGUGGCAGAGGAGCAGCCGGCGGCCGCUGAUAAGCGGGGCGACUGCGGAGGAGGGAGAGCAUAGAGCUAUUCCCGCCGUCGCAACUAUAGCAGUCGGCGCCUCCUACCUACGCUAGAGGGGAAGGGCGGUCUCGCGCGAGGGGUGGCGGCGCUCGAGCGGCGUCGGCGGCGGAGACAGCUCGCGCGGACGGCGGAGACGCAUCUGCACUUCUCUAGUGAAGAAAGUCCACCUUCCUUCUAAGAACUUUUCUUACUGGUUUCAGGACACUGUUAACGUCUAAAACCUCAAGUCCGGGAAUAGUCGAAGCUCGAGGUCGUUGACAAAGGUAGUUAUGGAGACCACCGUCUUCUCCUGAGUUGUAAAGACUUCAGUAGAUUAGGACUACUAUUGUCACCAUUACAUGAGUAACUCAGUUAAAGUUCACGACAGCGUCUGUUUCACUUUUUAUCACCAAGUGGAAAUUGAGUACUACUACAUAACUCUCGAUAACUAUCUCCUCCGUUCCUGCGACAGAGGAAACUAAGUUUAGGACGAUGAAUAACCCAUGAACUAGGUUAACUACCGUGAUUUCCAAAGAACUUUCCUCUACUACGAGACAUACACCAGCCAAACCGAGAACACCACUUGCCCUUCCAUCGUCACCCUCACUACCCUACAGGUUUAACCUGGUUACCAUGGUGCCGUUUGUUCUUUCUUCUUUUAGAACUAGGGACAGGACCGUUACCGUAGGAAUACCACAGAGUACAUACGACACCAUGAACCAGAUCCGUGAACAGAGGACUCUAACCGGUCAAGUGGUGUCGUGUCCUACAAACCUUCUCUACAAAACAACUACGUACAAGUCAACACGUGUACCGUGCGAAGACGUAAGGCCUAUCGGUUUGAACCUUGUACUAUGGUAAUAGGCAGGAGAAACUGAGUUGUUGUCUACUUAGACUAUGAGCUCUACUCUUAUUUUAAGAAGAGGCUAUACGAACGACACCGUCGAACACGUUUAUAUAUUACCAUCGUAGACCCUCUCGGAGUCAAAAAAAGUCAGCUCGUGCCCACUUGUGAGUUUAGUUCCGAACCCUAGUACGACAACCCUACUAAACACACGUCCUUCGACCACCAGUCUAGUCACUGACCUCACCUCUUGGCAACCUAGAACGUCGACUGGAUUGUCCCGCUUCUUAAGACAUGGGAAGUCCGCCACAAGAACAGUGUUUGCCGCGAGACGUGCUGUUCGAGCAGCUUGACUAGAGUCGUUUGAUAUUUAUCAUCUACGUCACAACGCGUCGAAGUUUGUCCUCGUGCUAAAACAAGACAGACAUUGUAAAAUGGCGUACUGUUUGACAUAGCCCAGAGCGUAAGUAUCUCCUUGGCGGGUACGAACGGUUCUCAGUCGGUAAGGCCGUACGUUUGGGGCCGACUAACUGGUCGCCUUUACUGUUCACAUGUUCACCAACCUGAAGUCUACAGCACUUUCACAUACCUUGCUCGGUUACGGCAAGAACGGGUCUAGUUCACGGUUUACGAGAGUUCACAUACACGACCACUUGAUGAUAAACGCGACCGCAGGCUCUAGCUCG